GACGAACGCUGGCGGCGUGCCUAAUACAUGCAAGUUGAGCGCUGAAGGUUGGUACUUGUACCAACUGGAUGAGCAGCGAACGGGAGAGUAACGCGUGGGGAAUCUGCCUUUGAGCGGGGGACAACAUUUGGAAACGAAUGCUAAUACCGCAUAAAAACUUUAAACACAAGUUUUAAGUUUGAAAGAUGCAAUUGCAUCACUCAAAGAUGAUCCCGCGUUGUAUUAGCUAGUUGGUGAGGUAAAGGCUCACCAAGGCGAUGAUACAUAGCCGACCUGAGAGGGUGAUCGGCCACAGUGGGACUGGGACACGGCCCAAACUCCUGCGGGAGGCAGCAGGAGGGAAUCUUCGGCAAUGGACGAAAGGCUGACCGAGCAACGCCGCGGGAGGGAAGAAGGGUUUCGGAUCGUAAAACUCGGUUGGUAGAGAAGAACGUUGGUGAGAGUGGAAAGCUCAUCAAGUGACGGUAACUACCCAGAAAGGGACGGCUAACUACGUG
rnacentral:rRNA from 1 species